UACGGGGGGAGCAAGCGUUGUUCGGAUUUACUGGGCGUAAAGGGCGCGUAGGCGGCCACCGCAAGUCGGUUGUGAAAUCUCCGGGCUUAACCCGGAAAGGUCAAUCGAUACUGCGGGGCUAGAGUGCAGAAGGGGCAACUGGAAUUCUCGGUGCAGCGGUGAAAUGCGUAGAUAUCGAGAGGAACACCUGCGGCGAAGGCGGGUUGCUGGGCUGACACUGACGCUGAAGCGCGAAAGCUAGGGGAGCGAACGGG
rnacentral:rRNA from 1 species